rnacentral:lncRNA from 1 species
UUUUGUAAAAAUGUUUUAGCACGGAAAACAUAUUUUCAUCAUUUUAUAACAACAAAAAUAAACAUAACAAGCAUGCAUUUAAAAUGUAUAAACAAAGCCAUUUUCUAGUAAUAUUUAUUGUGAGACAUAACAACAAAUAUGAAUUCAUUUCCUAAAGGACUUAUUAGAACACUUCAAGGUCUUCACAAGGCUCCAUGUCUUCAUAAGAACUUCAAGCUCCAUCUUGUUACAUUCUAUAAAAAAUAAAAUACAACUAGUCUAAAACUAAUUUAUUACGUAUAAAAUGAACAAACAGAUUAAUACCUAUUUAUUUAUUACAUCAUCAUAUGAAUAAACAAAUACCAACCACAAAUGUCUUAAUGACUUGUUUAUAUAUAAAAAAUAUAUCAAACAAAACAACUCUUUGUUUUUUCUAAGGAAACUUUUAUAUAACCAAAAUGCAUGAAAAAUGGUUAUAUAAGAAAUAAACACUUUUAACUACAAGUUGCCAAAGAAAACAAAUAUAGACAUUUCUUUAGCUAAAAAUAAAUCCAUGCAUGUUUUCUAAAAACCAAAGAUUAUUGUAACAUAAAAAUCAUUCUAACAUUUAAAAUAUGGCUCUGAUAUCACUGAAGGGUUUUUGUCGCAUAAAAGGAUAGUUUUUCAUAAAAACCAGCAAUAGAAGCUUUUAAAAUUAUUAUAAAUUUCAAGUGAAUCAACAAAACAAACCAUUAGGGAUCGUUUAAAAGAGGUUAGAAUGAUGUUACAACAAGCAUAGGGUGUUUAGAAAAUACAACCUUUGUAGCCUUUGGACCCUCUUGGAUUUGCGGUGUUCAAGUAGAUGGCAAGAACAAGGAGCUUGAUAUUCUCUACAUGUAAUCCACCAACAAGAAUAAGGUACCAAAAUUUCUAGAUUUCUUUUUUUACAACUUUUUUCUUGAACCGUUAAGUGCUUAAACAUUUAAGUACUAAAAGAAAUACCCAAAGUAAACACCAAAAGCUUGUAAUGUCUUCAAAAGAGGAAAGAGCUCCAAGCUCUUCACUAGCUCAUGGUUUUGAGAAAAAAAGAAAGGAGAAUAAGUUUUAGACCAAAA